AGAGGGUCACAGUUCCAGACGGGGAGGUGGCGCCCUCCCCUAGGCCCCGGGCCCCGACCGCCCGGUGCCGCCUCCUUCCGGGCCCUCCCCAUGAUGACGGCGCUGCGGGCAGGCCGGGCGGACUGGGCGGGGCUCCGAGCGGGGACUGGGACCCAGACGGGCUCGGGGACGGGGAGCAGGCGGUGUGGCCAUGGCGGGCUGCUGCGCCGCGCUGGCGGCCUUCCUGUUCGAGUACGACACGCCGCGCAUCGUGCUCAUCCGCAGCCGCAAAGUGGGGCUCAUGAACCGCGCCGUGCAGCUGCUCAUCCUGGCCUACGUCAUCGGGUGGGUGUUUGUGUGGGAAAAGGGCUACCAGGAAACUGACUCCGUGGUCAGCUCCGUUACGACCAAGGUCAAGGGCGUGGCUGUGACCAACACUUCUAAACUUGGAUUCCGGAUCUGGGAUGUGGCGGAUUAUGUGAUACCAGCUCAGCAGGAAAACUCCCUCUUCGUCAUGACCAACAUGAUCCUCACCAUGAACCAGACCCAGGACCUGUGUCCCGAGAUUCCAGAUGUGACCACUGUGUGUAAAUCAGAUGCCAACUGUACUGCUGGCUCUGCCGGCACCCACAGUAAUGGAGUCUCAACAGGCAGAUGCGUACCUUUCAACCGGUCCGUCAAGACGUGUGAGGUGGCAGCCUGGUGCCCAGUGGAGGAUGACACACACGUGCCACAACCUGCUUUUUUAAAGGCUGCAGAAAACUUCACUCUUUUGGUUAAGAACAACAUCUGGUAUCCCAAAUUUAAUUUCAGCAAGAGGAAUAUCCUUCCCAACAUCACCACUACCUACCUCAAGUCGUGCAUUUAUGACGCUAAAACAGAUCCCUUCUGCCCCAUAUUCCGUCUUGGCAAAAUAGUGGAGAAUGCAGGACACAGCUUCCAGGACAUGGCCGUGGAGGGAGGCAUCAUGGGCAUCCAGGUCAACUGGGACUGCAACCUGGACAGAGCCGCCUCCCUCUGCUUGCCCAGGUACUCCUUCCGCCGCCUCGAUACACGGGAUGUCGAGCACAACGUGUCUCCUGGCUACAAUUUCAGCCCGCCUCAGCCAGGAGAGGCCCCAAGCCGCUCCAGCAUCUGUUCAGCCAGCAGAGUGGACCAUUCGCCCAUGCCAGCUCCACUCUAACAUCCUCUCCCAGGGCCCAAGGUCCUGCCCCAGCCAUCUCCCCCGAUCCAUCCUCCUUCUCCUCAGGUUUGCCAAGUACUACAGAGACCCGGCUGGCAAGGAGCAGCGCACGCUCAUCAAGGCCUACGGCAUCCGCUUCGACAUCAUCGUGUUUGGGAAGGCAGGGAAAUUUGACAUCAUCCCCACCAUGAUCAACAUCGGCUCUGGCCUGGCACUGCUGGGCAUGGCGACCGUGCUGUGUGACAUCAUAGUCCUCUACUGCAUGAAGAAAAGACUCUACUAUCGGGAGAAGAAAUACAAAUAUGUGGAAGAUUAUGAGCAGGGUCUUGCUAGUGAGCUGGACCCAUGAGGCCUACCCCACACCUGGGCUCUCCACGGCCCCAUCGAAGAACAGAGAGGAGGAGGAGGGAGAAAUGGCCACCACAUCACCCCAGAGAAAGUUCUGGAACCUGAUUGAGUCUCCACUCCACAAGUACUCAGGGUUCCCCAGCAGCUCCUGUGUGUUGUGUGUAGGAUCUGUUUGACCACUCGGCCCAGGAGGUCACCAAUCUGUUCUUGGCUGGGUCAACUCUGUUAUUCCCGCAACCUGGGGUUGUGAGGGGGAGCGCUGGCCCGAGGAAGUGGCACUGCUGUGACUUUCAGGGCUGGAGCUGGCUUUGCUCAGAAGCCUCCUGUCUCCAGCUCUCUCCUGGACAGGCCCAGUCCUCUGAGGCACGGCGGCUCUGCUGGAGCACUUUAUGUGGCAGGGGAGGCCGCCUGGUUGCAGUCACUAGACUUGUAGCAGGCCUGGGCUGCAGGCUUCCCCCAACCAUUCCCUGCAGCCAUGAGGCAGAGCUGGCAUUUCUCUUCAGAGAAGCGCUGUGCUGAAGUGAUUGAGGACCAGACAUUAAAACGUGAUUUUCUUAA